UUCUUGAGGUCAUUAAGCUAUCAUGACUUUCUGGAAGAGUAGACUUCAAAUGUGCUGCUGCCAUUUUCAUCUGUCUACUGAAGCCUCCAAAGCUGCCACAUCUCUGCCAGUUGACAAGAUGUGAAUGAUUUUUUUUUUUCACCUUUGAGGCCAAUAGUCUGAAUACACAGUUCUCGAAAACAUAACCGCCACCAGGUUCCAGAUGCUACUGUGAUGCCAGCUGGACUUCCCUGGGCAGACGACCCUACCAAUGUGUCCUGGAGCCUCAAUUCCCCAAACCCCUGCCCCACUAGAGAAAGAGAGAGACAGGAGAGACAGGCUGGGAGUAUGGAUCGACUUGUCAACACCCACGUUCAGCAGGGAAGCAAUUAUAGAAGCCAGACCUCUACCUUCUGCACCCCACAAUGACCCUGGGUCCAUACUCCCAGAGGGAUAAAGAAUAGGAAAGCUAUCAGGGGAGGGGAUGGGAUACAGAGUUCUGGUGGUGGGAAUUGUGUGGAGUUGUACCCCUCUUAUUCUAUGUUUUUUUGUCAGUGUUUCCUUUU